ACUGAUGGAAAAGCUGCAGUUAGGUGGUAAAAUGGAUAGAGGGCUGGGCCUGGAGUUAGGAACAUCUGAGUUUGAAUCUGGGUCCUAGUCUUUUCCUUCGGCAACCGAAAGUGAAGUUGGCCUUGUCCAUCUUCUCUCUUAAAGCUGGAAGCCAGGAGCUCCUGAAGUGACUUGACAAUUGAAGAGUCCCCAAGAAGACUCAAUGUUUGAAGAAUCUCUAAAGGUAACUGGCCCUGAAGAGUCCUAAGGGAGAGACUGGCUGUAGCUCUCUCAUCACCACCCAUUCAUUUCCACCACUAAGGAGAGAGUCUCAUACCCAUGGACUUUGGGACAGGAGCUACACAUAUAUGGGAAGAAAAGGGAAGAAGACCAGAAAGGUGUGGAUGUGGGAAGAAUGAAAUAAAAGUCCAAUUAAUGGAUGAGGCAGAG